rnacentral:lncRNA from 1 species
AGUUGGCAUUGAUACAUUGUUCAGAAUCUUUCUAAAAACCUCCGUUCUUUUUCCGACCCCAGUGACCGCUAAUUGUGGAAAACAAUGUACUGGACUAUUCAAGAAAGAAAUAUUUUGCCUGUUCAUCGACUCAGCCAAUAAGGUUUUCUUCAGUGUCGAAAUUGGUAUGGAGACGUGGAUGGAGAUUUGAGUCUUAGGAAUUUGGGAAGAGCUCAAGUGAUUCAGAAUGAAAAGACCUUGGCACAGACCUGUUAAGGAAGCUCCAUAUAAGGUGAAGAAAACAACAUGCUCAGCCAUGUCCUUGCCUUCUGCACACGGUAGUGCAUUCACUGCCUGAGAAUUCAAGGCUAAAACAAAAAGAGGAGCUUUUGUUCCAACAGAUAAGUACUUACCUUUUUCAAAAAAUGCAUAAGCUGUCCUGGGUGUUUAGCAGUUAUUCGCACAGCUUUCCAAAGACUCACAGCAUUUAAAAGCUAACUCUACAGAGAUUCAACAGCUUCUUCCAGAUCCCACCACAGUGGAAAAGAACUCCGGUGUCCUGGCUCCCUGUCCAGCUCUUCUCUCUCCCCUUCCAGCUGCCAGUUCAGCUUUAAGAAGUUCAUUCUCCACAUUCAGAUGCAGGCAAAUGCGUUUGACUUGAGCAUAUUGAUUUCAGGCAGGUGAGAGUGGAUGUAGCGAUUCAGCUUGACAAAUAUUUAGAUCAGUUAAGUGUCCUUUAUAAAGAAGCACUUGAACUCAGUGUUUCCUUUACCCGACCAUUUCACUCCACAAGCUACCUCCCCAGCAUAAAAUAUUCAAAUUAUUUCUAAAUUUCAUCUACUGAAAAAAUACUUCUAGGCCCUAUAGCUACAUGAUAUCUCCACUGGGAGCCCUGUCCUUUCCAUGCCCUGGGAAAACCCGAUCUAAAGCAGAUUUAAAUGACUCAGCAGUAGGACUCAGGUCUCUGUCUCUGCCUGCUUACUUGGGGAGUGCUCCAGCCUUAGGGGCUCUCUUGCACUCCAACAUAGGAAAGAAAUUAUCGAUGGCUCCAUUCCCCAGCAUUUGAGACUUUUCUUCCCACAGACACAUUCCUGAGGACACCAGUCAUGGGUAAAGAACUCCACUGGGGUCAGCGUUGGAUCCCACUAGGCAGUUUAGGACUUGUAAGUAGAGUAGUGUGGACUUGGUGUUCCCAGAGCCUCUCACUCAUGAUUCAUGGCUCUCCACCCCAAGCAUCGGAACUUGCCCAACUUCACCACAGAAGGAAACAGACUGUAAGCUUGGAGGGCCAGGGAGGAAACCGGAGGCAUGUGUGGGAGGAUUAGAAACAUGAAAAGAUAUUUACAGUAAGGUUCGCUUGUCAUCCUCUUGAACUGGGGGUGCAUAGAGUACAAUAAGACCCCAUGUGAGUAUGUUAGAUGAUAAGGCUCAGGUUGGAUGGGUGUGUAGAGUAAAGGCUUUGCAUCACCUUUGCCAGGGUGAGGGAAGGCUAUGGAUAGCACAGGGGACCUUGAUGAUCGGGUGAGGGAGCCCAUGUGGACAUAGUGGUCACCAGCUACUUCCUAGUUCUCUACAUGGGAGAAAGAGCCCUUCUCUGUAAUCAUGGAAGCUCAAGUUCUUGGUGGUUCAGAGGUUAGAGACCUCUGAUUACUAGGACAGAGCAGAAUAGCAGGGCUGGUCCUGGUAGAUCAGACAUCUCAUGACAUCCUUUAAAAGGGACUAGAAUAUUCAGAACUCCGGUGUAACUAAAUGAUCCUCAAGCUUUACCAGCAGGUGAGCAAGGUCCCAUUGUAUUUGGUACUCACAUCCCCACCAAUUCUGUAAAAGUUUGCCAACUUUCCCCUCCAUCCCCUGCACCCUUUCACCAAAAGAUAUGCCUAAGAGUUCCCAAGAGACGUCUAACAUAGGCCUGCAUGUCAGCCCAGUCUUCUGGGCUGAGCUGCUGCACUGUUGCUGGCCUUGAUGGCUGAACCUGAUCUCUGUUGUGGCACCCACCACUCUUUCUCAAGCCUUGACACCUUGGCAGGCUUUGGCAAAAAGAGGAGAGCUGUUCUUCCUCGGCAUUAUGUUCACUUAGCAGGGUCCCACAGCAGGAUUGCUUGGACCCCAGAGUAUUGUAGGGCUUAAUAAGACCAGCCCUUUCAUCUCACACGCUCUAUCCUUUCUCUCACUGGUGCACCCACGUCAGGUGUCUUGAGUGGGGAGUGCUCGAAUAUCUGCCACCAGCUUGAGUCAGAACCUCGACUUCCCUCAGCUUUUCAGGGUCUGUUACUGAGUCUGGUCCACACUCCAGGGUCUUUUCCUCACGGUCUGGGUCUGGUCUUUUUCAGGUGCCUACCUUUCCUCCCUGCAAACUGCCUUGAGUUGCCUCCCCUUCUCCCUUCCUUCCUGGUCUGUCAGAGACAUCUUGUCUGGGUGCAUAUUUGAACCCCAUCAGUAGACAGAAAACAUGUAUUUCCUUGAAGGCCCCUCAGACCCCAGGUACAAACAUUGAAGUAAAUAACAGCAGGGAUGGGGGUUCUGCCUCGCUUCACCUGCCAGCCACGUGCAGACCUUGUUUCAGUCCAACUGAGACUUUAGCAAGUGCUUCAUUCUGGUUUGUGAAUGGCUUCCCAGUGUCUGUCACUGUGUUCACAGGGCCACCGGGGUUGGCUGAGUCAGAAUACCAGCCAUGUGGCAUGUCGCAUGGGGCAAGAGCUGUGCUGCCCAUGGGAGUCCAGAGAAGGAGCACACUAAGGACCAACACCAGAGAGAAGACAGCUGUCUGCAAACCAGAAAGAGAGUCCUCACUGCACUUCAUAUCUGCCAAUGGAUCCUUGCUCUUGAACCUCCCAACCUGCAGAAUCAUGAGAAACAAACAUUGUGUAAGCCACCCACUCUACAGUAAUUUGUUCUAGCAGACCGAGCUGACUGAGGUAUGGUCUCAUCACGUAAC